CUGGCGGCGUGCUUAAGUACAUGCAAGUCAACUUGACUUUAGAUAGCAAUAUCGAAAAGUAGGGUGGCGCACGGGUGCGUAACGCGUAGGUAAUCUGCCCUGAGGUCUGACAUAAACCCGUCGAAAAGGCGGGCUAACAUCAGAUGAUAUAUAAUCACGACAUCGUGGAAAUAUCAAAUCUUCGGAGCCUUGGGAUGAGCCUGCGUCUGAUUAGGUAGUUGGCGGAGUAAUAGCCCACCAAGCCUACGAUCAGUAGCUGGUCUGAGAGGAUGAUCAGCCACACUGGAACUGAGACACGGUCCAGACUCCUACGGGAGGCAGCAGUAAGGAAUAUUGCUCAAUGGGGGGAAACCCUGAAGCAGCAACGCCGCGUGAAGGAUGAAAUACUUUUGUAUGUAAACUUCUGUAAGAUGGGAAAAAUAUUCUCCUCGGGAGAAUUGAUUGUACCAUCAGAGUAAGCCCCGGCUAACUACGUG
rnacentral:rRNA from 1 species